CAGUCGCCGCGGGAAUACGUAGGGUGCGAGCGUUAAUCGGAAUUACUGGGCGUAAAGCGUGCGCAGGCGGUUCGUUAAGACAGAUGUGAAAUCCCCGGGCUUAACCUGGGAACUGCAUUUGUGACUGGCGAGCUAGAGUAUGGUAGAGGGGGGUAGAAUUCCACGUGUAGCAGUGAAAUGCGUAGAGAUGUGGAGGAAUACCGAUGGCGAAGGCAGCCCCCUGGGCCAAUACUGACGCUCAUGCACGAAAGCGUGGGGGGCAAACAGGAUUAGAUACCCCUGUAGUCCCUGUCUCUUAUAC
rnacentral:rRNA from 1 species